rnacentral:lncRNA from 1 species
GAUUACAGGCAUGAGCCACCACGCCUGGCCAAGGCGGCACUCUUGUAAAUAAAAAUAGACAGGGUACCCAGUGUUGCCUGGCUAUCUACAUGCCCAGGUUCUAUAAAAGUUUUAGCUCUGAGUGCAUUUUGGCUUGGUAAUAGGAGUUUGUUUCCAGGUCAUUAUUUAUGACUCCAGUUUUAAUAUGCAUAUCAAAUAAAAACUUGGGCAAUUGUCAUGAAAGGAACAUGCAGGAUAUUUUAAUGAACACUUCUGCAUUUAAGGAGGUCUGGGAGAAGGGUGGUGAGAAUGGUAAUGAGUCAUACAUCUAUGUUGCGCCACUACCCUUAGCCAUUGCUUUUCGGAGACCCUAGGCCUAAUUAAAUAAUAGCUAGACUCCAUCAUAUGACAAAUGAUUGACUAGCUAUGAGCAUGGGGCAUCCUCAUUUCUCAGCCCAGUCUCAUGUUCAUCAUGUGCUAUUAGUCAUAAGUCUCUAGCAUUUAUAGAAAAUAAACACAGUUGCUCAGUUCCCACCCCCAAAUGAGGAAAUUAGUAUGGAAUGGAGCCCUGGAAUCUGCAUUUUGUAAGGCUUCUUUGGUGAUCCUGAUGCACAUCCAUGGUGGAGAGCUCUGAAGGGGUUGUGAGAAGAGAGACGGGAAAGCGAAGGAAGCUACAGAAACCCAGAGAGGCCCGCAGAGGUCUGAGGAGGGGCUGGGGGCACGGAGGCAGCAGUGCCUGGAAAACCAGUCCCGCCCCAAGUUCACAUGCAGGAACAGAGUGGGCGGCACAGCGGGCUGCACACAGGGCACGUCUUCGAUUCAGAGCUGGAGUGGAAGAAGCAGCCGCCGCAGCCCCGGUGGAAACUCCGUGACUCUUUUCUAGCAGCCAUCAUGGCUGCAAGGGCCGGGCUGUGACCAAAGGAGGGGUCUGAGGCAGGGAGGGUGGCAUGUGCCCUUACAGAGAAGGUCCCACAGAGCAGAGCCACCCAGAGGCACAGCCUCAAAGGACUGACCUGUUACAAGAUCCCAGAGCCCUAGGCUCCCCAGGAACACUGUCACUGGAGAGAUCCUCUCUGGGCCCAGACCCAACCAUCACCCAACUCCAAUCCUCUCCCUUGAGCCCAAGACCCUGGACCUUCCCUGGGCGGGACCACAGCAGAGCCAGCACUGACCCUCAGGUUUUGGCAAAAUGUCUAGUGAGGGAACAUCUUCAUUUAUGGUCCAACCAAUUCAGUACAAAGCCUCUGCCUUCUCGCUCUGUGAGGUAAGGGGAAGGGGUCAUGUUUUAGAGACAGUAAUCUCCCCCUUCUCUGGACAGCCAGACAUGUGGUGCCCGUUGCCACAGGGAAGGUGACAUAGCAGAAGCGAGCCUUGGCUUUGGAAUUUUAAAAGCUUGAUUCUGAAGGUGGGUGGCAAGAACUCAGGACACUUACAGUGCAUUUGGAAGAAUAUAUGAUGGGUUAAAGAAUAAAAGCCUCCUCUCUCCCCCACUGGUCAAGAUUCCAUAGGUUGGCAGGGCUUGGGGAGCAAGGCGAAUGUUGACAUUUCUGGAAUUCUUGAGAAAAGGACCCUGAGAAGGAGGUUGCGGCUAAAGAGGGGGAAAGUAUGACAAAUACUCCAUAUAGGUUUGGAGGUGAUAAGUGUAGGCAAGCACUGGGUAGAAGAACCCACACGCUUCCUGGGUAGAGCCUGGGAAAACAGCAAGCCACAGAGCGGAACAAGGGACUGGGCUGUCUAUCUUAGCAGUUGGCCUGGAACAGAAUUACUGAGCUUCCUGAAGCCAGAGGGUGUGCAGGGCCAGGAGCUAGAAUCUUCCACAUGCUCCAAGCCACAGGUCCCCAAAUAGGCUUUGUGGAAGUGAAGGAGCCCCUGGCAGACCUUGCAUGACCAACUGAUGACCAGAUGGGGAGGGGAUGUCCAGGCAGGUGCGAGCAUGGACGGAUGAUGAUAGCCGAGGAACAGAGUCUUACAUGACUUAAAGCCACACCCCCACCCGACCGAGCUUAACCCCAGGAAAAGGUCAGGGGGAGACUUUGAAUUGACUGAGAUUAAUUUCUACCACCUGCUGAAACGGGGUUCCUAAUAGAAAUUACAUUCUGUGUUAGAAAAAUAAAGUUAUGCUUCUUGCAGAUUAGAGUUUGUAGGCUGAGUUGUACCUACUAUAUAAGUAAUGAAUUAAUUUUUUCUUUAUGAUUUUGUAAAGAAAAGAGAAGAAAGAAAUUUCAGUAGAAUAGCGCUACAUUGCAAGAGAAACGGCACUUGUGAUUUUUAUCCAUUUUCCUUCUAGUCUUUGAAUUUAGAAAGCACAAGUCUCUUGCCACAAGUUCAGGUCAAAUGACUGCAGCAUUUUGAGUGAAACCAAUAAAAUCUAAGUUCAUGG